AACUGGUUGAUCCUGCCAGUCGUUAUAUGCUUCGUUCAAGGGUUAAGCCAUGCAAGUGUCUGAGCAAGCCAGUGGCAUCUUGGUGUUACAAAGUCGGGUCUGUGAACAGCUCAUUCAAACAGUCAAAACAGAUACGGUUACGAAGUGAGAUUUCUCAAAACAGCGGACAACCAACUAAACCGAUUGGCUAAUACGGCGGCUCGGACGUGCCGGGUUACUCGUGGACUGGUAUGGCAACAGAAAAACAGUCUCUCCCCGGUGCGCAUCCAAAUGGUUGAAAAAUUGGCGUACCUCACGGUUAUGCGCUGCCCCGUUGAAACAGUUUGGAGGAAUGCAUGGACGGAUCACCCGUCAGAUCGUUCAGAUCUCUGAUCCAUCAGCUAGUUGGCCUUGAAAAGUACUGUCAAAGCGUUUACGGAUACAGAGAAUCAGGGUUCGACUCUGGAGAGGGAGCCUGAGAAACGGCUACCACUACCAAGGUUGGCAGCAGGCGCGAAAACUACCCAAAUGGCAACACAGCUGAGGUGGCAACGAACAGUAGCACGAAUUUGCCUCUAUAGGGCGAGCUCCUGCAAUGAGUGUUCAACCAAAUACAUCACUGAGGAUCAAAUGGAGGGCAAGUCUGGUGCCAGCAGCCGCGGUAAUUCCAGCUCCAUAAGCGUAUGCGAAUGCUGUUGCUGUUAAAAAGCUCGUAGUUCUGUGAUGAUCUCCGGGGUUCCAUGGUGGUGUUCCUUGCAACGGGGGGGUGUGGUGGGGGGACUCCCCCUCAUCCCUCCCUCCGCGCGGGAAAAAAAGGCUGCUCGGAAAAACCAGGAGGCGAAGUGGGCACGAAUUGUGGAAGCAUCCUUAACUGGUUGUGAAAACAGAAAAACGCUUUCGUCAUAAGUACAGUAGGAUUGCCCAAGUGUUACCGUGAGCGAAUCAAUGUGUUCAACGCAGCCCGUACCAACCGGCAGAAUAUUCAAGCAUGGCAUAACAGUGAAGCGAUCGUAAGUGCAACCGUUUGCUGAUUUUAGGGUGCUUAUCGAACAGCGGGAAUAAUCCGUGUCUUAAGAAUCGUCUUGAACACGGACUUUCCUUCGAAGCAAACAGGGGUGUGUGGUGUGCUCUGAACUACCCUAUGAGGAGUGAAACCCAAUGACGUCCGUAAGAUAGCCAGACGCGGAGGCGUAGUUCCCUUCUCAAAGAUGCGGCUGUUGAUCAAGAACGUGAGUCUAGAGAUCGAAGAUGAUUAGAUACCGUCGUAGUCUAUACCGUAAACGGUGCGAACCAUUGUCGUGGGUGGAAUUUCGUGGCAAACCUUUGUAACAAUCUUGUACGACAACUAGUGCACCCCCGCAACCAUAUGUUUCAAUUUGACGCGAAAGCUCGAGUCUUCACGCUCAGGGGGAAGUAUGGUCACAAGGCUGAAACUUAAAGGAAUUGACGGAAUGACACCACAAGGCGUGGAGUGUGCGGCUUAAUUUGACUCAACGCGGGGAAGCUUAUCAGGUCCGGACGCCAGGUGGAUUGACAGAUUGAAGCCCUUUCAUGAUCAGGCGAAUGGUGGUGCAUGGCCGCUCCUAGUUGGUGAAUUACUUUGUCUGCCUUAUUGCGAUAACGAACGAGAUCCUACCGGUGCUUAAUAGAGUGUUUACCCGCUUUAAUGGGACUGUGAUUCGAGAAAUGUGAGCAAUUGUGGAUUGAGGAGAGCGUUUUAGCCCGGAGGGAAUGUUCAACUGCUUAACUGGGCUGUGUGCGAUUCAAGUGCAAUUAAAUAGGUCGAUAGCAGGUCUGUGAUGCUCUUCGACGUUCUGGGCUGCACGCGUACGACACUGAAACAGCAAACACGUUAACUUCAACUUUUCUGGACCUUCUUUGAGUAGAGAGGGAAAUCGUAAAACUGUAUCGUGAUGGGGAUAGCUCUAAUUGAAAUUAUUAGUCUUGAACGAGGAAUGCCUCGUAAAGGUCGCUCAACAAACAGUCUUGAUUAGGUCCCUGCCAUUUGUACACACCGCCCGUCGUUGCUACCGAUGGUUUAGAUGUAGAGGCUGAUAGAAAGUUCUGCCUGUGUUCUAUACACGCGCUUAUUUGAAUUCCACCAAUACGUCUCCGUUAGAGGAAGCAAAAGUCGUAACAAGGUUGCUGUAGGUGAACCUGCAGCAGGAUCACU
rnacentral:rRNA from 1 species